rnacentral:rRNA from 1 species
AACGAACGCUGGCGGCAGGCCUAACACAUGCAAGUCGAACGCCGUAGCAAUACGGAGUGGCAGACGGGUGAGUAACACGUGGGAACGUACCCUUCGGUUCGGGAGUAACUCAGGGAAACGUUAGAGCUAAUACCGGAUACGUCCGAGAGGAGAAAGAUUUAUUGCCGAGGGAUCGGCCCGCGUCUGAUUAGCUUGUUGGUGAGGUAACGGCUCACCAAGGCGACGAUCAGUAGCUGGCUGAGAGGAUGAC